UUUGUUCACUCUUUGUAUCUACUGCUCAGCCUCGUCUCUCUUGCUUCCUCUCAUGGCGACCGGCGCUGCCCCCUUUUCAUUGUCAGGUGCAACUCAUGUCAAAGCAUGCGAACCUUGGUCUGCAAAGUCCUCCUCGUUUGUCAAGACACCUAUGGUGGCUAUUCAGAAGAAAUCAAACUCUCAAGGAACAAAAACCUCCAAGUUGUCUAUUCGUGCAAACUACAGUGAUCAAAGAGGUGGCGGGGGCAACGGUGGUGAUUUUGUUGCCGGUUUCCUUUUAGGAGGUGCAAUAUUUGGAACACUUGGCUAUAUUUUUGCUCCACAGAUACGGAGGUCAUUGCUCAAUGAAGAUGAAUAUGGUUUCCGGAAAGCCAAGCGACCAAUGUACUAUUAUGAUGAAGGUUUGGAGAAAACUAGACAAACUUUGAACAAUAAGCUAGAUCAACUGAACAGCGCCAUUGACAAAGUAUCUUCAGGGUUGAGAGGUGGAAACAAAAUGCCUUCAGUGCCUGUUGAGAGUGAUGCAGAAGAAGCUACUAUGUGAGAACUGGUCUUGUACCUCUUUAUGAUCAAUCAUAGGACUCUACACACAGGAUAUUGGAACAGUAUAAGGAUCAUGAAGUUUCUAGUCUUACCAGUUAUUUUAUUAUCUUCUGAAUCUUUUGGUGAGGUUUCAUCAUGGAACUUGAAAGAAAAAAGAACAAAAUAUGAUUUCCAGGAAGUCGGAGACUUGUGAGUGAAAACUAGUUAUUCACUUGAAUAGUCCUCAAAUUUGAAUUUUAAUUCUUCAAGCAGCAUUUGCAGAUAUUGAAGUUCAGUAUUUAAAAUGUUGAAAUAUCAUUUUG
rnacentral:misc_RNA from 1 species